rnacentral:lncRNA from 1 species
AUGCAUGCCUGUGUGUGCAACGUGCAGGCUGUGUGUGAGCAUAGGUGGGUGUGCACAGGCUGCACUCAUGUUUGGACAGCGUGCUGGGUGCUCACAUACGGUGUGUGUCUGUGUGUGUGUGUGCAGAGUGUGCAGACAGGGAUGCUGCACGCAGGCUGUACUUCAUGCAUGCAUGUGGAUGUGUGUUUGCAGUGUGUGUGCUGUGCACCCACUGUGCUCCUACUGGGCUGUGUGCAGGUGUCUCGGCCUUCAUGGUGCUCUAGAAAGAACAGCGACAGCGCCUGUAAAGCGUCUCGGAGGACAGUGCUGGGAGUCAGCACUGCUCUGCUCACCUGCACCCAGUCUGUGCAGCAGCAGCUGCGUUGUGCUGGAAGGCACACGCUGGGGUUCCCUGAUCCAGCUGCUCCUGGGCUUGUUCCCAUCCCGAUGAUUAUGAGCCACAGGCAGAGGGAUGCAAGGUGCCAGGGCUGCUGCCUGCGGGGGGAUUCAAGGAGGCAACCACCCCGUGUAAAGCUGGGACAGCGCUGUCCUGGAGAUGUAGGCGCUGGUGCAGCACUCACACUGCAUGCCCGUGCUGCCUGCAGCCCUCCGACUCCCUUCCCCCAGCAGCAUGUCUCACUGCCGCCUCGCUCUAAUUUCCUGUCCAUUGUCCCCAUCGCUGCCACCAUCGGUCCCCAGCGCAGGGCCGUGCAACGCACAGCCAGCCUCCAUGCACCUCCGUCAUCUCCACGCGCAUACCCCACCAGGGCCGUGCCCACCCUCUGCAGCUCCCAAAAGAGCCUGGGUGCUGCCGUGUCCCCCGUUCACUCCCAGCACCGGUGGGGCCGGGCAUGGCCAGCCCAGCAUGGGGAGCAGGAGCCCAUAGCAGAUUCUGUGGCCGGUGCUCAGCUGCACCGCAAGAGGGGUCAUCGGAAAUGGAGUGUACAGGGGUACUUGAUGGUCACGUGGCAGCAGCACUGUGGGAAACAAUCACUGGGGCUGAGAGCUCUCCAAUCCAGCAGGGAGAAGAGAACUGCGAGAAACAGGCAAGAGCUGAAGCCAGACACGUUCAAAUGA